CGUGUAGGCGGUCGGUCAAGUCGGGUGUGAAAGCCCGGGGCUCAGCUCCGGAAGUGCGCCCGAAACUAGCCGGCUGGAGCGCGAUAGAGGAGGGUGGAAUUCCUGGUGUAGCGGUGAAAUGCGUAGAUAUCAGGAGGAACACCGGCGGCGAAGGCGGCCCUCUGGAUCGUUGCUGACGCUGAGACGCGAAAGCGUGGGGAGCAAACAGGAUUAGAUACCCUGGUAGUCCACGCCUUAAACGAUGGGUACUAGGUGUUCGGGGUGUUGACCCCCUGAGUGCCGCAGCUAACGCAUUAAGUACCCCGCCUGGGGACUACGGCCGCAAGGUUAAA
rnacentral:rRNA from 1 species